rnacentral:tRNA from 1 species
GGCCUGAUGGCUCAGUUGGUUAGAGCAUUGUCCCAUACACUACAAGGUUACAGGUUCAAUUCCCGGUCAGGGCA